AAUACGAAGUUAGAAAAACAACCUGAAAUUCAAGAAAAUGACCCUUCACAAAGCGCAAAAAAAGAGUGUGAAGAUGAUAUUUUGAUAGAGAUAUGAAUGCAGAGAAAGAAGUGUAAAUACCAGUAGAUAAACAUCUGGAGAAAGAAAAAGGAGGAAGAAGAUGGGGGUCUGGAAGCAGAAGAGAGUUUGAGUGCAGUGGAAGAUGGAAGGAAGGGUGGAAGAUGGAAGAUGGAAGAUGGAAGGAAGAGACGAGGGAGAGAGAGGGAGGAAAGGUGAGAAACACUGACUUAGUGUAAGAAAAAAAAAUCGUGUCAAUCUACCGUUAGCCACAUCA
rnacentral:lncRNA from 1 species